rnacentral:rRNA from 1 species
CAAUAGCGUAUAUUUAAGUUGUUGCAGUUAAAAAGCUCGUAGUUGGAUUUCGGAUGGGACUUGCCGGUCCGUCGUUUCGAUGUGCACUGGCCAGUCCUAUCUUGUUGUCGGGGACUAGCUCCUGGGCUUCACUGUCCGGGACUAGGAGCUGACGAGGUUACUUUGAGUAAAUUAGAGUGUUCAAAGCAAGCCUACGCUCUGAAUACAUUAGCAUGGAAUAACACGAUAGGACUCUGGCUUAUCUUGUUGGUCUGUGAGACCAGAGUAAUGAUUAAGAGGGACAGUCGGGGGCAUUCGUAUUUCAUUGUCAGAGGUGAAAUUCUUGAAUUUAUGAAAGACGAACUUCUGCGAAAGCAUUUGUCAAGGAUGUUUUCAUUAA